rnacentral:rRNA from 1 species
AGCAAGCACCGGCUAACUCUGUGCCAGCAGCCGCGGUAAUACAGAGGGUGCAAACGUUGUUCGGAAUCACUGGGCUUAAAGCGCGCGUAGGCGGCGACAUCAGUGUCUUGUGAAAGCCCCCGGCUCAACCGGGGAACUGCAGGGCAUACUGUGUUGCUAGAGUACGAGAGGGGAGAGGAGAACUCCUGGUGGAGCGGUGGAAUGCGUAGAUAUCAGGAGGAAUGCCGAAGGUGAAGACACCUCUCUGGCUCGUAACUGACGCUAAGGCGCGAAAGCUAGGGUAGCGAACGGGAUUAGAUACCCCGGUAGUCCUAGCCCUAAACGAUGGGUACUAGGUAGGGGGGAUUCCUAUAUUUUCCCUGCCGAAGCAAAAGUAUUAAGUACCCCGCCUGGGGAGUACGGUCGCAAGGCUAAAACUCAAAGGAAUUGACGGGGGCUCACACAAGCGGUGGAGCAUGUUGUUUAAUUCGAUGCAACGCGAAGAACCUUACCUGGGCCUGAAUGCAGGGAUUAAGCUGUGAAAGCAGUGGAUUCUCUUCGGAGGUAACCUGCACCGGUGUUGCAUGGCUGUCGUCAGCUCGUGUCGUGAGAUGUUGGGUUAAGUCCCGUAACGAGCGAAACCCCUAUUGUUAGUUGCCAGCGGGUAAUGCCGGGGACUCUAGCGAGACUGCCGUUGUCAAGACGGAGGAAGGUGGGGAUGACGUCAAGUCAUCAUGGCCCGUACGCCCAGGGCUACAAACGUGCUACAAUGGCAUGGACAGAGGGAAGCCAACCCGCGAGGGGGAGCAAAUCCCAUAAACCAUGUCUCAGUUCGGAUUACAGGCUGCAAUUCGCCUGUAUGAAGUUGGAAUCGCUAGUAAUCGUGGAUCAGCUACGCCACGGUGAUAUGUUCCUGAGCCUUGUACACACCGCCCGUCAGGC